GCGGGUAUGGUUCAGUGGUAGAACAUUGCCUUGCCAAGGCAGAGAUGCGGGUUCGAUUCCCGCUACCCGCU
rnacentral:tRNA from 1 species